AACUAACGCAUUUUUUGUUACAGUUUCUGUACUAUAUUGGUAUGAGAAACUUCCAGAACUUUCAUAGUUCUAGGGAAAUUUUGGAACAAAAGCCUUCGGGCUG
rnacentral:misc_RNA from 4 species